rnacentral:misc_RNA from 1 species
GUGAGUCAUCGAAUCUUUGAACGCACAUUGCGCCCUCCGGUAUUCCGGGGGGCAUGCCUGUCCGAGCGUCAUUGCAUCCUUCAAGCCCGGCUUGUGUGAUGGGUCUUCUUUCGUCCCGAAUGGGGGACGGGCCCGAAAUGCAGUGGCGGCGUCGUGGUUAUCCAACGGCCUGAGUGUAUGGGGCUCUGUCACACGCUCACCAGCCAGGACCGGCGCCGGCCUCAACCAAUCUAUCUUCUUAGGUUGACCUCGGAUCAGGUAGGGAUACCCGCUGAACUUAAGCAUAUCAAUAAGCGGAGGA